CGGCGGACGGGUGAGUAAUGCCUAGGAAUCUGCCUGGUAGUGGGGGACGAACGUUUCGAAAGGAACGCUAAUACCGCAUACGUCCUACGGGAGAAAGCAGGGACCUUCGGGCCUUGCGCUAUCAGAUGAGCCUAGGUCGGAUUAGCUAGUUGGUGAGGUAAUGGCUCACCAAGGCGACGAUCCGUAACUGGUCUGAGAGGAUGAUCAGUCACACUGGAACUGAGACACGGUCCAGACUCCUACGGGAGGCAGCAGGA
rnacentral:rRNA from 1 species